ensembl:lncRNA
AGUAAAGUAAAUAAAAUGUUUUUAAACUCCAACUAAUGUAAAGCAGGCGGUUUCAGCUUUGUGGCCCUUUCCUGCUUCUGAUUUUGCCUCGUUUUUUGUUUUUUUAGUCACUACUGGCCUUUUUAAAAACUUUUAUUAAAUUGUAAGUCAGCAACCUUUCACUGAGCAGCCAUUAAGGAUUUUUCUAUUGAAAAAUGUGAAUGAAGGGAAAGAGAAACCUCACACGCAGACUCAUAGACAAGGUCACCCAGCAUGCACAUCAUCGUUUCCUUUCAGUGACACCACACUCGUGUCAAGGACACAUCAGAAGCCAAGGAUUCAACAGGUCACUGUGGUGGAAAGUCCAUGGCAGGGUUUAAUCUUCAAGCCCUUCUUGAAAGAUUUGAGGUGUGUUUGAGCUCAUUAUCCUGCUGCAGCAUGAUUCCUUCCCCAC